CCCUUGGUUCGACACAGACUGUUAUUUUUGACCACGUGAUAACCAAUAUUGGCAAAGCAUAUAACCAACAUACUGGUCAUUUCACAGCAUCCUUUAAUGGAAUAUACUUCUUUGCCUGUACAUUUCUAAAGACAGGAGGUUCAUAUUUACAUCUUCAAAUGGUUCAAAACAGCAUAGAAAUAUCAAAAGGGCAUGCAUCAAGUGGUGACGCAGUGGCAGGAUCGAUGAACGCAGUAAUAUAUUUGCACAAA
rnacentral:lncRNA from 1 species